GGUAAGGUGGCUGAGCAGGCGGUGGAUUGUAGCCCCAUGUACAGAGGUGGAAGCCCUCUUCUUACCA
rnacentral:tRNA from 1 species